rnacentral:rRNA from 1 species
AACGAACGCUGGCGGCAUGCCUAACACAUGCAAGUCGAACGAGACCUUCGGGUCUAGUGGCGCACGGGUGCGUAACGCGUGGGAACCUGCCCUUAGGUUCGGAAUAACUCCCCGAAAGGGGUGCUAAUACCGGAUAAUGUCUUCGGACCAAAGAUUUAUCGCCUUUGGAUGGGCCCGCGUUGGAUUAGCUAGUUGGUAGGGUAAAAGCCUACCAAGGCGACGAUCCAUAGCUGGUCUGAGAGGAUGAUCAGCCACACUGGGACUGAGACACGGCCCAGACUCCUACGGGAGGCAGCAGUGGGGAAUAUUGGAAAAUGGGCGAAAGCCUGAACCAGCAAUGCCGCGUGAGUGAUGAAGGCCUUAGGGUUGUAAAGCUCUUUUACCCGGGAUGAUAAUGACAGUACCGGGAGAAUAAGCCCCGGCUAACUCCGUG